CCUACGGGCGGCUGCAGUGGGGAAUAUUGCACAAUGGGCGCAAGCCUGAUGCAGCCAUGCCGCGUGUGUGAAGAAGGCCUUCGGGUUGUAAAGCACUUUCAGCGGGGAGGAAGGCGUUAAGGUUAAUAACCUUGUCGAUUGACGUUACCCGCAGAAGAAGCACCGGCUAACUCCGUGCCAGCAGCCGCGGUAAUACGGAGGGUGCAAGCGUUAAUCGGAAUUACUGGGCGUAAAGCGCACGCAGGCGGUCUGUCAAGUCGGAUGUGAAAUCCCCGGGCUCAACCUGGGAACUGCAUUCGAAACUGGCAGGCUAGAGUCUGGUAGAGGGGGGUAGAAUUCCAGGUGUAGCGGUGAAAUGCGUAGAGAUCUGGAGGAAUACCGGUGGCGAAGGCGGCCCCCUGGACAAAGACUGACGCUCAGGUGCGAAAGCGUGGGGAGCAAACAGGAUUAGAUACCCCUGUAGUC
rnacentral:rRNA from 1 species